UUGGUCCUAGCCUUGAAAUUAAUUGUUACUAAAUUUACACAUGCAAGCCUCCCCACCCCUGUGAGUAUUCCCUUGCCCUUUUCUCCAGGGCAAGGGACAGGUAUCAGGUUCAACAUGCCCAAGACACCUAGCCCAGCCACACCCACAAGGACUUCAGCAGUGAUUAACAUUGAACAUAAGCGACAGCUUGAUUCAAUUAUAGUAAACAGGGCUGGCAAAGUUAGUGCCAGCCGCCGCGGUCACACUACAUCAGCUCAAAUUAAUAUCUAUCGGCGUAAAGCGUGAUUAAAACACUCAACAAAGCUAGAGUCAAACAUAAAUCAUUCCGUUCAAACCUCAUUUAUAAGAAGCUCAACAACGAAAGUCACUCUAAACUAAUCAACUUGAACUCACGACAGCAGAAAAACAAACUGGGAUU
rnacentral:rRNA from 1 species